rnacentral:pre_miRNA from 1 species
AGUGGGAUAGCUGGGUCUAAUGGUGGUUCCAUUCCAAGUUUUCUAAGGAACCUCUAUACUGCUUUCCAGAUUGGUUGUACCCAUUUACAUUCCCACCAGCAGU